AUUGAACGCUGGCGGCAGGCCUAACACAUGCAAGUCGAGCGAGCGGCGGACGGGUGAGUAAUGUAUGGGGACUGCCCGAUAGAGGGGGAUAACUACUGGAAACGGUAGCUAAUACCGCAUACUAUCGGAUAACCCAUAUGGAAUUAGCGAGUAGGUGAGGUAAUGGCUCACCUAGCCGACGAUCCCUAGCGGGUCUGAGAGGAUGAUCAGCCACAGUGGGACUGAGAAUGGGCCCGGACUCUUGCGGAGGCAGCAGGGUGGAAUAUUGCACAAUGGGAGCAAGCCUGAUGCAGCCAUGCCGGUAGUAUGAAGAAGGCCCUAGGGUUGUAAAGUACUUUCAGUCGGGAGGCGUUACCGACAGAAGAAGCACCGGCUAACUCGGUGCCAGCAGCCGCGGUAUUC
rnacentral:rRNA from 1 species